rnacentral:rRNA from 1 species
AAGAUGGGAGCUUGCUCCCUGAUGGUAGCGGCGGACGGGUGAGUAACACGUGGGUAACCUGCCUGUAAGACUGGGAUAACUCCGGGAAACCGGGGCUAAUACCGGAUGGUUGUUUGAACCGCAUGGUUCAGACAUAAAAGGUGGCUUCGGCUACCACUUACAGAUGGACCCGCGGCGCAUUAGCUAGUUGGUGAGGUAACGGCUCACCAAGGCAACGAUGCGUAGCCGACCUGAGAGGGUGAUCGGCCACACUGGGACUGAGACACGGCCCAGACUCCUACGGGAGGCAGCAGUAGGGAAUCUUCCGCAAUGGACGAAAGUCUGACGGAGCAACGCCGCGUGAGUGAUGAAGGUUUUCGGAUCGUAAAGCUCUGUUGUUAGGGAAGAACAAGUGCCGUUCAAAUAGGGCGGCACCUUGACGGUACCUAACCAUAAAGCCACGGCUAACUACGUGCCAGCAGCCGCGGUAAUACGUAGGUGGCAAGCGUUGUCCGGAAUUAUUGGGCGUAAAGGGCUCGCAGGCGGUUUCUUAAGUCUGAUGUGAAAGCCCCCGGCUCAACCGGGGAGGGUCAUUGGAAACUGGGGAACUUGAGUGCAGAAGAGGAGAGUGGAAUUCCACGUGUAGCGGUGAAAUGCGUAGAGAUGUGGAGGAACACCAGUGGCGAAGGCGACUCUCUGGUCUGUAACUGACGCUGAGGAGCGAAAGCGUGGGGGAGCGAACAUGGA